UACGGAGGGAGCUAGCGUUGUUCGGAAUCACUGGGCGUAAAGGGCGCGUAGGCGGUCGGGUAAGUCGAGUGUGAAAUUCCGGGGCUCAACCCCGCGAACUGCAUUCGAUACUGCUCGACUAGAGAAAGGUAGGGGCGAGUGGAAUUCCCGGUGUAGCGGUGGAAUGCGUAGAUAUCGGGAAGAACACCGGUGGCGAAGGCGGCUCGCUGGGCCUUUUCUGACGCUGAAGCGCGAAAGCGUGGGUAGCGAACAGG
rnacentral:rRNA from 1 species